rnacentral:lncRNA from 1 species
UGUGUGCAGGGUUUUAUUGAGGAAGUACCCUGGGAAUCAACAUGUGUGGGAGUGAAUGCAGGAGGAGUGGGAAGGAGCUGAACUGCUGUGCGAGCUCUGGAGCAGGAUGGGCCUACAGAGAAGUCCAAUCUUGAGGUAAGGGGCCUGGGCUUUAUACCCACGCAGGGAAACUGAUCUUCAGUGAGUCUGGGUUCAUCAGCUGAAGGCAACUUCUGGAGAAGGACGCAGCUGAAGACUUUUUGGCAACCAACACACCCAGGCCCUGGGGGAAUGAGUGUCUGGGUCCAGAACAGAGGACAGGGAGGCACACCACAGGGUCCAUGGCAAUGCACCCCUUAUCCAUCCAGACCCACUUACUUUGUGAAGUAAAUUUAGCUUCUCCAGAAUUCUGGUAGGUCUAUUUUCCUGGGGGGAACUUAUGAAAGGAAGGUUAAUGUGAUGGGCCCAGCUUCACUAUGGCAGCAGGUCUUCAGGUGCAAGUAAAACUCACAGCUGCCCUCCUCCAUUACCUGUUCCAGAGUCCCCUUAUCCUUGGCCAGCACCUCUGCUGGGCUAGGCCUUCAUGGUCUGUGUGACCUGGUCCCUCAUUCCUAUCUUUCAAUCUCUUCUUUGUGACCCCUGACCAACUUAUUGUAGGGGAGGAAAAAUUAUCUUCUACCCAUCUCAGUUCUUUUGGCUGAUCUAGUAAUUAAAUUGACGUAAGACAAACAGAAGAAAAACAAAGGUAAUUGUGUACAGAUGGGAGCCUCACCAAGACAAUGAGAGGCUCACUGACAAGUCAGGCUUAUGUGCCACUUCAAUCUAAGGAGAAGGAGACAGAUGUGUGUCUUGUGUUUCAAAGGGAAGGAAGGAAAUUCACAAAAAGAUGGGAAGGGCAAAUGUUUGGUUACAACAAGAAGACACUGAGGACUUUGAAUAAACAGGGGGUUCCCCCUAGCUUACCACCCCUGCCAUACUCUUUGUAUUUAUCUCCAGUAAUAGUUCUCUUCCUAAACCAGGUCCUCUCCCUAAAUUCUUUUAGGCAGUUGUGGGGACAGGCAAAAAGCUCUUGAUGAAUCUUUUGGGCCUCCACUGUCUUCAGCUCAAAAUAAUCCACUUGCCAAAAUGGCAUAUCCUGGGAGGCUUGUUCUGAACCACUUUACUAACUAGCCAUUCAGGGCUGCCUCUGUAUUCUUGUGUCAGGCCAGUUCUCUUUCCACACACAUUGAAUGACCACAGACUGAGGGAUGAGCCUCAGGUCACCCAAACUUUCUCAGACUAUGGAUGCUGCACUCAUCUUUUUACCUUCAAAACUGAACAAGGGAGUCCAAAGAAACACUCCCAAAGGAUUACUGAAUAUACCACUGUAAACACAAGUGUGAACUGAGGGAGGGGGUCCAAAUCACCUACUUGUGCAGCUUGCUUGUGGCCUCUGACUCUGUUCUUGCCUGAUCCCAGAGGUACCUCUUCCACUAUGUAACGGGUAGUAUUGGCUGCACCCCUCCCCCCAUAGGACGGCAAGCCUUGUAGUUGCCCAGCUUUGAGAGUAACAAUAGAGCCCAGAGACAGCAAUAGAAACAUUGGUGGCUUAUUGGAUAGAGGAACUUACACAAAGGGUCCUGGAGCAAUACCCCCAACGUAUACAGCAGAGAGUGAGCAGAACACGGCAGCAGUAUUUUCAACCCGGGCUGGAGGUGGGAAGGCUAUCUUUUAUAGGAGGGAUUGAUGUUGCAUGGACCAAUCAGUUCUUAGGGAUGGUCCUGUAAUUAAUUAAGGGGACCUAUAAUUAAGAGGAUUGGAUGAUCCUGUGAGUGAAACAGCCUGGUCAAGCAGGAGAUAUAAAGAGAUCUGGAGAACAGCUACUUUGAAUGGUCUCCCCAUACAGAUGGGCUUGAGAGAAAUCAUCUCACAAUAGGCAACCUUGGCCACAUAUCCACUUGAUGUCCCAUAAUUGUUAGGUUUGCUGAGGGAGGAAUGCACAAGGCCAAGUUAGUAAAGCAAGAGAGAUUUAUUAAGGCAUCAGAGGGGCAUGGACUGAGCUCAGGAUGGUGCCAGCUCUGACUAGGAGGAGGUGCUAGGUUUAUAAAGGAUCUGUGGCGGGAAUCUGUGGGUGGAUGGAGUUCAUAGCAGGAACUUGUGCCAGGAACAACGAAGAAGGAGAGGAAGGUCAAGGGAGGGGUAGGGGGUCUCGUCCCAUGACAGAGGGCAGUUAAUCCCUGUAGGAGGUUAAUCUACACAGGCAGUUGUUUUCCGCAGGCCAUUGUUUCUUGCUGCCCAACUUGAGCAAACACAUUCCAGGAAAGGGUGUCCACAGCAAGUCUCCAAGGUGAACAGCCACAUUUGGGGGUUGGGGGGAGUCUGUCUCCGUCCUCCUGUGAACCUAUCAAUAAUCAGUUCUGUCUCUAUCAAAGUGCAGUAGCACAUCUGGAGCUAUUUUUCAAAUGGUGGAAGUUGGCAUAGACUUCUAACAUCCUAGGGGUCUAUCUUACGAUUCUCCUAUUGGAAGUUGCCGUAAGUGCUAAAUGGCAUACUUUCCUACUACGGAGUCAUAAUGGCCAAGUAGCAGGGCUGCUCUUGAAAAUCCUUCUCUGAUUUCUUCUUUAGAUUGAGAGGCUUCUGAAUUAUUUUCAAACAAGUGGGAGCACUUGCCUUUACCAGAAGCACUGGGCCAUUUCUGCUGGCCCAGAGGGUUUAGAGGGAUCUGCUGUUCCAAGGUUUUUGAGCACAUCAGUCCAAAUGUUCCCACCCCAAGCCUUGAGAUUUCACUUCCUCGUCAGGGCCCUUACUUGGGAUAGCUGACUGAAGAAGUCAAGUUUCUUUGGAGAUUUUCUACUCUUUUAACUAAAUCCAGGAUCAAAUUUCAGUUUUCUCUGCCCCUCUGGUUGCAGGAGAUGAGUCUGUUUAUACUUCCACAGAGGCCCUCUGGUCUUCUAGUGGUGAACUUGGUGGAAUAUUAAUAGUCAUUAUUACUUAGGGGAGUUCCUGUUGUGGUGCAGCAGAAACGAAUCCGACUAGCAACCAUGAGGUUGUGGGUUUGAUUCCUGGCCUUGCUCAGUGGGUUAAGGAUCUGGCAUUGCCAUGAGCUGUGGUGUAGGUUACAGACUCGGCUUGGAUUCCACGUUGCUGUGCCGGCGGCUAUAGCUCCAAUUCACCCCUAGCCUGGGAACCUCCAUAUGGUGUGGGCGCGGCCCUAAAAAGACACACACACACACCCACCCAAAAAGUCAUCAUUACUUACAGUUUAACAGUUACACGGCAUACCAGGAGCUUGUAGUGCUUACCCUACCACCAGUGAUGGGGACCUCAUUGCCAGCUGGCAGAGGGGAGGUCCAGUGCCACGGGCUUGGCAUGCAGAAGUUCCUGGCCCAGAGACUGAACCCACACCAUAGCAGCAACCCAAAUGUUUCUCCAGGGAGGGGGUGUGAACCUGGGUGAGGCUGAUCUCUCUGCAGAAAGGCAAUGCCUAGAGGGAAACUCAGCUGAGAGUUGUUAUCCACCAAACUUCCCAGCAGCUGGGAAAAGUGAAGCUUCAAUACAGAAAGGGGAAUUUGGAUAAUACACCAGUAGCCACCACAGGGAUUAUAACUAAAAUUGCAAGUGAGGAUAAGAGAAAAAAAAAAAAAAAAAGAGUCGAGGACUUCACUGUGGGGCUCCUACAUUUACGUGACAAACAGACUUAGAAUUGUCAGAGAAGGAGUCAACAGAGACAGAGAAGAACAUGGAGAUCGGAGAGCCAUGGAAAACAGGGAAACAGAUGGGAGGAAGCUUUUUCCUACGGAUGCUGGAGUUUAUUCAUCCAUUCUCCUGACUUUAAAGAUGAGCAACUCCAGUGUGGGGAAAAUAAAGGGGGGGGGGUUUAUUCAAACUCACCGAAAAGGUCAGUGACAAGACCAGGACCAGCAUUCAGGCUUUCUGAUUUCCUCUCCAAUGUUCUUAACUCUGUUUUCACCUUGCAGACAUGUGUAGGAGAUUGCUUUCUUAUUCAGCCCUGGGUAUGGGCAGGGUUCCUAACUUCAUUACCUCUCACAAAAAAGUUUCUUGAAUUAUGCAUAUAUGGUUCUUCUUGAAUUAUAUAUAUAUAGUUCUUCCUUUCACAUUAAAUAAUGUUGAUAAAUUGACAUUAUUGAAUGUGAAGGGAGUAACUAACAUCUCUCUCUAUGUUGUUAUUAUUAUUAUUAUUAAUCAUCUUUUUAGGGCCACACCUUUGGCAUAUGGAAGUUUCCAGGCUAGGGGUACGNCAAAAAAAAAAAAAAAAAAAAAAAAAAAAUUAAAAAUUAGGGCUUGAAAUUCCCAGAUAGCCCUGUGGGGGACAAAAAAGUAGUUCUCACAAGGGCCUAAUGACUUAAGCAAAUCCUAUCAUCACUGUACCCUCUUUACCACAGGAUGUGUCUAGACAUUGAAGGACAGAGGGCUCAAUUAGAUAUUAAAUUAGAGAUUAAAUACUGGCUGUGGAGUUCUCUCAUGGCUCAGCAGGUUAAGGACCAAGCAUUGUCACUGUGGCUGCUCACAUUGCUGCUGUGGUGUGGGUUUGAUCCCUGGCUGGGGGAGCUUCCAUGUGCCUUGAGUGUGGCCAAAAAAAUUUAAAAAGAGGAGUUCCCAUGAUGGCUCAGCGGUAAUGAACCUAACUAGUAUUCAUGAGUUUGCAGAUUUGAUCCCUGGCCUCGCUCAGUGGGUUAAGGAUCUGACGUCACUGUGUCUGUGGUGAAGGCCAGCAGCUACAGCUCUGAUUCGACCCUGAGCCUGGGAACCUCCAUAUGCUGUAGGUUCGGCCUUAAAGAACAAAAAUAGGUGUUUGUGUGUGUGUGUGUGUGUGUGUGUGUGUGUGUGUGUGUGUGUUUAUAGGCUAUAGGGAGAGCAUAGGAAGGAUAGAUCUUUUCUUCCUCCAGUUACUCCCCUCUGCUUUGUGGGACUAGCAAAAGUCACUCUUUUCAGUUGCUUUGUUUUGCUUUGUUUUUCGACACUGGUGACAACAUUUUUUUUCUUUUUAUGGCUACACCCAUGGCACAUGGAAGUUCCUGGGUUAGGGGUUGAAUUGGAGCUGAGGCCUACACCACAGCCUUGGCAACACAGGAUCUGAGCUACAUCUGUGAACCACAAUGCAGCUUGCAGCAACAUCAGAUCCCCAACCCACCAAUCAAGUCCCAGGGAUUGAACCCACAUCCUCAUAGAGACAAUGUUGGGUCCCCAACUCUCUGAGCCACAAUGGGAACUCCAGGUGACAACUUUUAAUAGACCAAUAAUUUUAUUCAGAUAUUGCAGUUAUGAUCCUUAGUAGCAUAUUAAAAAUAUUCCAAGUCGACAAUGUACACACACUCUUUAAUGGCUCUACAAAUAUUUAAAUUCAACAUGUUCAUGAAUAGACUUUGGGGCUGAUUCCGAGGAGGCUCAAAUUCUACAUAUUUACUGGCCACUUAAAUUGUUACAUUCAGUGAUAUUAAGCACUAUGAACCACAUUUUCCCUUAGAAUACAUUUGUGUAUCAAUAUAGUAAAUUAAAUUUACUUGAGUUAAUUUUUAAUUCUCAGAUGAGAAACAAAGUAACCAAGAAAAAGCAAUUUGUUCAGAGACCUAAGAUCUUCAUUCAUGUUCUAAAGCUAAAACAAAUACUUGAAUACAAACAUAUGGAUACUUGAAAAUACCUGGAAGAUUGAAAAGUUCAGUUUUCAAUUAAGAUCUUUGCCAUUGUGUGUAGAGAACAUUUAAGAGGCAGCUUGCUCUCACAGGAGGGAAUACUCUUUACUGAGCUCAUUAGACUGAUGCAUAAAAUCCAAACUUUAAUAUACGAUAUGACACAUAUUGUUGCUCAGACCUUAGUCAUUAGCAUAAUAAUGAAUGCAUUUUCUACCAGUGUAUGGACCAUAUUUCCAACCAUGUUUGGGCCAUAAGACAAGUCUCAAUAAAUUUAAAAUGAAUCAAAACAGGAAUUCCUAUUGUGGCUCAGUGGGUUAAAAACCCAGCAUAGUGUCUAUGAAGACGGAGGUUCUAUCCCUGGCCUUAGUGGUUAAGGAUCCAGUGUUGCUGUGACUGUGGCAUAGGUCUGCAGCUGCAGCUCCGAUUUGACCCCUCGCCCAGGAACUUUCAUAUGCUGCAGGUUCAGCUGUUCAAAAAAUACCAAACCAAAACAAAACCCCCAAACCCGGAGUUCCUGUCGUGGCGCAGUGGUUAACGAAUCCGACUAGAAACCAUGAGGUUGUGGGUUCGAUUCCUGGCCUCACCCAGUGGGUUAAGGAUCCGGUGUUGUGGUGAGCUGUGGGCACCCUCCAUAUGCCAUGGGUGGGGCCCUAAAAAGACAAAAAAAAAAAAAAAAGACCCCCCCAAACCCAAAAAAUCUACAAAGUGCUUUCACUGACCAAAACAAAAUUAAAUUAGAAAUAAAUACCAGAAAGACCUAAGGAAAAUCCCUGAAUACUUAGAAACUACAUAAUAUACUCUAUAUAACGUGUGGGUCAAAAAAAGAAAGCAAAAGGGAGAUUAAAAAGUACUCUGAAGUAAAUAAAAAUGAAAACAACAACAUGUCAACAUUUUUUUAAUGCAAGUAAGGCAGUAUUUAAAGGGAAAUUUACCUGGUGGCCUAGCAGGUUAAAGAUCCAGUAUCGUCACUGCUGUGGAGCAUGUUUGAUCCCUGACAAAGCCAAAGGAAAAAAAGGGGGGGGAACAGAAUUUACAGCACUAAAUACGUAUAUUAGGAAAGAUGAAACAUCUCAAAUCAAUGACCUUAACUUCCACCUUCAGAAACUAUAAAAGGAAGAACAAAUUAAAACCAAAGUAUGCCAAAGAAAGAAAAUAAUAAAGGUAAUAGCAGAGAUCGAUGAAAUAGGUAACAAAAAAAUAAUAGAGAAAAAUCACAAAACCCAAAGCUGGUUCUUUGAGAGGAUGAACAAAAUUGACAAACCUCCAGUCAAAUUUAUCAAGAAAAAAAAAUGAAGAGAUAAAUUACCAAUAUUAAGAAUGAGAGGAGUUCCCGUUGUGGUGCAGCAGAAAUGAAUCUGACUAGGAACCAUGAGGUUGCAGGUUCAAUCCCUGGCCUUGCUCAUGGGUUAAGGAUCCGUCAUUGCCAUGAGCUGUGGUGUAGGUCCCAGACUUGGUUCAGAUCCUGUGUUGCUUGCCUGUGGCAAAGGCUGGCAGCUACAGCAAUGAUUGGACCCCCUGGCCUGGAAACCUCCAUAUGCCAUGAGUGUGGCCCUAGAAAAGACAAAAAAAAUUUUUUUAAUAAAAAAAUAAUAAAUUAAUCAAUGGGAUAGAAUUAAGAAUUCAGAAAUAAACCCAUACUUUCAUGGUCAAUUGAUUUACAACUCAAAUGUUAAUACCAUUCAAUGGGGAAAUAAUAUCUCUUCAACAAAUUGUUUGGGGGAAGUUCCCUUGCCAUGUAUCAGUUUAAGGAUCUGGCAUUGCCACAGCUGUGGUGCAGGCUGCAACUGUGGUGUAGGUUCAAUUUCUGGCCCUGGAACUUCCACAUGCCAUGAAUGCAGCCAAAAAAAAAAAAAAAAAAAAAAAAAAAAA